rnacentral:rRNA from 1 species
UAAUAGUGUAUAUUAAAGUUGUUGCAGUUAAAAAGCUCGUAGUUGAAUGUUGGUGUCGAACGAGCGGUCAGCUUCGGCUGUACUGCUCUCUCGACUCCUUCCUUCUGUGGACUACGUCGCACUUUACUGUGUGGCGCUAGGACGCAGAUCGUUUACUGUGAAAAAAUUAGAGUGUUCAAAGCAGGCCGUACGCUGGAAUACAUUAGCAUGGAAUAAUGGAAUAGGACGUCGGGCCUAUUUUGUUGGUUCUAGGACCGUCGUAAUGAUUAAUAGGGACAGUUGGGGCCGUUUAUAUUCCGUAGUCAGAGGUGAAAUUCUUGGAUUUACGGAAGAUAAACUACUGCGAAAGCAUUCGGCAAGGAUGUUUUCGUUAA